UACGUAGGGUGCAAGCGUUGUCCGGAAUUAUUGGGCGUAAAGAGCUUGUAGGCGGUUUGUCGCGUCUGCUGUGAAAUUUCGGGGCUCAACCCCGAACUUGCAGUGGGUACGGGCAGACUAGAGUGUGGUAGGGGAGACUGGAAUUCCUGGUGUAGCGGUGAAAUGCGCAGAUAUCAGGAGGAACACCGAUGGCGAAGGCAGGUCUCUGGGCCGUAACUGACGCUGAGGAGCGAAAGCGUGGGGAGCGAACAGG
rnacentral:rRNA from 1 species